AGAGUGAACGCUGGCGGUAGGCCUAACACAUGCAAGUCGAACGGCAGCACAGUGGUAGCAAUACCAUGGGUGGCGAGUGGCGGACGGGUGAGGAAUACAUCGGAAUCCACCUUUUCGUGGGGGAUAACGUAGGGAAACUUACGCUAAUACCGCAUACGCCCUUCGGGGGAAAGCCGGGGAUCGCAAGACCUGGCGCGGAUAGAUGAGCCGAUGUCGGAUUAGCUAGUUGGUGAGGUAAUGGCUCACCAAGGCGACGAUCCGUAGCUGGUCUGAGAGGAUGAUCAGCCACACUGGAACUGAGACACGGUCCAGACUCCUACGGGAGCAGCAGUGGGGAAUAGUUGGACAAUGGGCGCAAGCCUGAUACCAGCCAGUACCGCGUGGGUGAAGAAGGCCUUAGGUGUAAAGCU
rnacentral:rRNA from 1 species